rnacentral:lncRNA from 1 species
AAAGAAGGUAUCUCCUUGUGUAUGGAGAAACAGCCUGUAUUACACUAAUAUCAUGGGUCCCAGGGAAGGAGAACAAGCUGGGCUAUGCUAAAGCAGAAUAAAACACAGCUAAGAGGAAUAGAGCUCUAGUUGAUAUAUUGCUCUAUUAUCAUCAUUCUUUUUAUGAAAAGAUAGCUCUUCUCUGCUCACAAACUAAAGCAUGCAAUUCUCAGAGCCGAGAGGCUGCCCUAAAGUAUAUUUUAUAUGUCUGCUAACUUUUUUUUGGUCUGUUAGCUUUUACAGCUUGUAUCUAUCAACUGUUACUGUCUUACAAAAUACCAAAUUCAAGUAUUAUUCUCAUUUUUAUUUUAUAGAAUUCUUUAAUAAGUUUUAUCAACUCAAAGAUUGCAGCUGUUUGCUGAAGUUGGUUUUUAUAUUACAUAAUGUUUUUAUGCUCAGAAUUUAGCAGUCUCUUCUCUAAAUAAAAUUUAAUAAAACAAAUCAGAAUAACUAUUGCCAAAUGAGAAUAAACAGGGACAUAUAAAAGGAAAAGUAGGCUCAAAAGUCUUAUUAGGGACUCAUUUGGCUAAGGGGUAUGGUUUGCAGCAGAUCUAAACUCGUAGGUUCCAUUUAAUGCCAUGAACAGAACCAGUAAGGAUCCUCUCCAAAUAGUUGCUAACAGAGUAACCAUUAUUAACUUUUCAUUUGAAUUUCAAAUUUUCAUUUGAAUGAGAAUUUUCUCCACUAAAUUUUUAGUUUUUAUAUAGAUAGUUGAUAAAAAUUUAACCAACCUCAAACAUUUUAUAUCAAUUUGCAGAUAAAGCUACUCACCAACCUUAGGCAACUACUUCAGAAAGUCCUGGAACUUCAGGAAUAUACUUUCUAUUUGCCAAGUACUUCCUUCUCUAGCCAACAAUAAAUUAUCUGCUUGUCUAAAAAGCAACUUCUUGCGGUUUAUGUUUUUGCCUUAUCUUUUAAAAAAAAUAAGUUAACUACAGAAGUACUGUAAUGAAGCCUAAUAGGUAGUAAG